rnacentral:rRNA from 1 species
AAUAGAUACCCGGUAGUCCACGCCGUAAACGAUGAGUGCUAAGUGUUGGGGGGUUUCCGCCCCUCAGUGCUGCGAGCUAACGCAUUAAGCACUCCGCCUGGGGGAGUACGGUCGCAAGACUGAAACUCAAAGGAAUUGACGGGGGCCCGCACAAGCGGUGGAGCAUGUGGUUUAAUUCGAAGCAACGCGAAGAACCUUACCAGGUCUUGACAUCCCGGUGACCACUAUGGAGACAUAGUUUCCCCUUCGGGGGCAACGGUGACAGGUGGUGCAUGGUUGUCGUCAGCUCGUGUCGUGAGAUGUUGGGUUAAGUCCCGCAACGAGCGCAACCCUUAUUCUUAGUUGCCAUCAUUCAGUUGGGCACUCUAAGGAGACUGCCGGUGAUAAACCGGAGGAAGGUGGGGAUGACGUCAAAUCAUCAUGCCCCUUAUGACCUGGGCUACACACGUGCUACAAUGGACGGUACAAACGGUUGCCAACCCGCGAGGGGGAGCUAAUCCGAUAAAACCGUUCUCAGUUCGGAUUGUAGGCUGCAACUCGCCUACA